UCCUGAGAAUCUACAAUGAAGAAUAAGAAGGGUGCAGUAACUAAGUAUGCAUGUCAUAACUAAUUCUAUUGAAAAUAGUUAUUCAGGAAAAUUAAGCUAUAUUGAAAUGUUGCAUGGUUCAGAUAUUGGGUCUAUGAAGAUUUGUUUAUGCCAUAAAAAUGCAUAAAUAAAAUCUCGUGUGGCCAUGUAAUUCACUUGUUAUAUGUCAAGUUCGAGCUCCUAAGAACAGGGUGAAACUGUUUGUUCUGAAGAACAGAUGUCACUGUUCGGGCUCUCUUUUGUUGUACUUUCUAUCCGCUUUCCUUCUUAGCCCCUUUUUGAUAACUUAGUUCGAACCCCCCUCUUUUGGCCCCUCUGAUGGUUAGACUGUUAAUAUCCUUUUAGAUUUCCACUAGGCAGCCUUUGUAUAUACAGAUAUUCCAUUUUAUUGAUUAAUGCUACAAGCCAUGCUUUGGAUUGGCUCAUGACCUGUGUGUUGAUGUCCAUCUUUAUAUUUGAGAACUAAGGGCUCUGUUCUUUUAACCAUGAACCAAUUUAAGUAGCAAGUCCGUUUUUGUUGGUUAGUUGUAUCAUUGUUAUUCAACACUGAGCACUAAUUGACAACCAACCAUGAUCAUUCUUUGAGAAAGCUAUGGGACAUACCUGAAAAUAUGAAUUGUUCGAACAAUGUUGUUAUGUUAUAGUUGUUUCAUUACUUGCAAAGUUGUUUGAGUGGUAUGUUUUUCAACUCUUUAAGCAUAUAUUUAUUUAUUUUGCACCCGUUGCAACGCACGAGCACUUUUGCUAGUUGAACAUGCAUAAGCCAAGCACUAGCGUACUAGCACUUCUUGGGCUGUGUUUUGCCUCACGAGAUCAAAGUGUUGUCUCACGACUUUCAAGGAACCCGUCAGGGGUGGUGCUGCGUGUGGAGCUUUUCUUUUUUUGGUCACUGGUCCUAAAGGUGAUACGACGUGCUGCGACGGAUAACCGACCUCGACUGUGACCACCUUCAGCAUGCGUUCAUGUGUCGGCGUCUUCGCGUUGUCACUCCGCCGGACCGACCCCGGCUCUCAGAUUGUGCGGUCAGAUCGAAAACUUCAGCGGCAGCCGCACACCUCAGUAUGCCGGAUUCACGGCCUAACGCGAAUAACUAGCAGAACGCGUAAAGAUGUGCUACCUCGCGUCGCGGGAAGUACUGGAGAGGUGCAUGCAUGCAUAUGGCCGAUGCGCAGGACAUCUUAAAAACGCAAACUGGCCUAUGGCGACCCAGGCGAGGAGAACAAGCAUGGAUGCGUACCGUUCAUACAAGGCAGCGCACAGAACCGACAAAGAUUCCACUUUGUUGCAGUACAGGGAGAUGCCACCCUUUCCCCUUUUUCUAUUCAUUUGUUAAUUAUACAUGGAGGCGGUCUGUGCUUUGGAUUGGUAGUUUGUUUUCCAUCUACUUUCCAUGUAUUACAAUUAAUGAUCUACACCUCUUCCGUACUAGCACGUGCAUGAUCAAAAGUGUCCUAAUUAUUUUGGCACUUGGAGCAUGCUUUCUUAUUAGCAGAUCAAUGGGCACUGUCGGUGCGGCACAGUCUACGCCAUGUAUUGAGACUUCAUCAAGGCAUCGGUGUAUCGCCUCGACACCGUCCCUCGAACUCUGACCUAUGUCGACGCCUCCGUAUUGAUGAUCCGACCUCGACGCUCAAGCUAUAUUCCUCUGAUUAUUUACUUCGCUUAAGUUAAUUAAGUAGAAGAGUUUUUUUAAUAAUGGAUAUAUUAUUAUUAUCAUUACUUGUUAGUACUUUUGUCCUGCACUAUUUUAUGUGUGCAGGUAAUCAACCUCGACUACGUCAUGCGGUCAAUUCUGUGGCCUAUGUUGUCGUCCUGCCUGCACCGAUCAAAUUGUGCCAUCGCCCCAACGCGCGUCCCUGUGUGAGCCAACUUCGACCGGUCUAUGUCGUCACCUCGGCGUGCCAACCUUUGCCAGCAUCGCCAUGCUGUCACUUCAUUGUCCGUCAAGCAGUGGGUCUGUCAAAUGAUGGCCGCAUUAACGAUGGUUGCGUGAUGGUUCGGUCAGUUUCCCGUCCACAGUUCGGCGAACGCCUCAUCGGGGACCUGGACCGCCCUGUGAAUUCAGGCUUUGUCAAGCCGGCGCCCCGUACCAACAUUGGCUUCGACGCCAGACCACAUCUCUUUAACAAUUUUUUU